rnacentral:lncRNA from 1 species
UUUGGUGUUCACAAUAACCUUUAUUAGUUUACCAGUCAUCUUACUUAAUCUUCUCAUUUUCCAGUCCCAGAAAUAUAUGAAAAAAUUCUGAUCCAUUUUGAACUUAAUGGAUAUUAACAAGUUUCAAAUGGAAAAUGUGUUUACCAUUCAUAUUAAGAAACCCAUUUUCAUUGUUUUAAAAGUUUGUAUAUUUUCACAUACAAAUGGAAAAACACAUUUAAUCAUUAAGACAAUGGUUAAAGAGUGGGCUUUUCCAAUUAAUCAGUUUAGUUGCCAUGUAUCAUACAUGAAUGACCAAUUUUCAAAGAAUUUCAAAUAAGAGUACCAUAGACUACAAAAAAUACAUAAAAUUACACUAUUAUAAAUCUACCAGCUUUUGUCAGAAGAUACUUAGGAAACUUCCUAAGUUUUAAAGCAGCAGUUUCCAAAUGCCCAUCUCAAUUUAAGGCCCUAUGAGGAUCUGUGGCAAAAUGAGAAAAAUAAGAUGAAAUAUACAGACUUGUUGAAAUAUACAUGCUUGUCAUUAAGUUUGCUAACAUUUUUCUUCCUGAAAUUAUGACUUUUCUAUUUUCUAAUGUCCUCCAUUCCUUGCUCAUAUCCCAUUAAGACAUAUUUCCCAGUUAAUUUCAAACUGUGGAUUAAUUUGUAUAAAGUAAAUAUUCUUAAUAGUUAAAAAACCAAACAUCUCAAAGAAACAAAGCCACUAGGUUUUAUUGAUUUCCUUUGUAAUAACUGGCUAUUAGAGUCUGGAAUCUGGAGGAACUUCUACUUCUGGUGUGGUGGGCUAUAUGGGAAACUUCCUUGGUGAACAAGGAAGACCCUGGCUGGGACACAUUAAAGCACUGCUGGACUCACAGAGGUGGGGAGAGGGUACCCUAAAUCAAUCAAAACCAGUGAUCUGGGAAACUGCAGGGAGAAGAAAAGGGGUAUGGGUGCCCUGAGGGUGGAUGCCUAUAAUGGCCUAGCUGUCAGGACAUUGAGCAUUGGGCCACUAAGUAGAGUGGGCAAAAGCUGUUCAUGUUUCCCAUCCUUAGAACCUUCAAGGGAGGACGGAAGUGGUUCCAGAAUGGUGGUACUCCCACACUGCCAGCAGAGGGAGAAGCAAGUCCUCUGUGGAGUUAAUCCUAGAUAGGUGUGCUCCAGUAGCCAGUACACCUUUCAAAAUACACCAAUUAUGGAUAACCCAAUGUUUCUCAGAAUUUGCUUAGGGCCUUGCCCAAUGACCUCCUCAGAAAAGGCCUCCCCAGUAAAUUCUCAGAGGAAUUGAAGCCAGUCUUAUGACCUACUGCCUCUUUUCAGGUUAUCAUCACCUAGCACACCUCACCAAAUAGUGGUAAUAUUGCCUUUUCUGUAUACAGCUAGCUUUCUGCAUGUUACUCUUUUUAUUUUCAUGUUUGAUAAAAUAAUUUCCUUAAAAAUUAUAUCAAGUAAGAAUACAAAGGUUCAAUAUCAGAAAACUCAAUGUCAUCUA